AGUGAACGCUGGCGGCAUGCCUAACACAUGCAAGUCGAACGGACGCACAGUAAGAGUUUGUUCUUACGGGUGGCGAGUGGCGGACGGGUGACGAAUGCAUCGGAAACCUCUUUUUCGUGGGGCAUAACGGAGGGCAACUUACGCUACUACCGCAUAUGCUCUACGGCUGAGAUCAGGGGAUCUUCGCACCUUGCCUUUCUCUUUGAGCCGAUGUCGGAUUAGCUAGUUGGCUGGGUAAAGGCCCACCAAGGCGACGAUCCGUAGCUGGUCUGAGAGGAUGAUCAGCCACACUGGAACUGAGACACGGUCCAGACUCCUACGGGAGGCAGCAGUGGGGAAUAUUGGACAAUGGGCGCAAGCCUGAUCCAGCCAUGCCGCGUGGGUGAAGAAGGCCUUCGGGUUGUAAAGCCCUUUUGUUGGGAAAGAAAAGCAGCAGGUUAAUACGCCGCUGUUCUGACGGUACCCAAAGAAUAAGCACCGGCUAACUUCGUG
rnacentral:rRNA from 1 species